GACGGAGGAUGCAAGCGUUAUCCGGAAUUAUUGGGCGUAAAGCGUCCGUAGGCGGUUUCAAAAGUCUGUUGUUAAAGCCCACAGCUCAACUGUGGAUCGGCAAUGGAAACUGUGAGACUAGAGAGUGGUAGGGGUAGAGGGAAUUCCUAGUGUAGCGGUGAAAUGCGUAGAUAUCGUGAGGAACACCAGAGGCGAAGGCGGUUACCUGGACAAUUACUGACGCUCAGGCACGAAAGCGUGGGGAGCAAAAGGG
rnacentral:rRNA from 1 species